rnacentral:rRNA from 1 species
AACAGAUAUAAUCUACGUGCUGUGACGUUUUAAACGGAUAACUGCGGUAAUUCUGGAGCCAAUACGUGCUAAAAGCCGGAUUCAGCAAUGAGUCCGGUGCACUUAUCGGAGCAAAACCUUUCCUGGUUUGAUGCUAACUCUGGAUAACCUGGCUUAUCGCACGACCCAGCGUCGGCGAAAUCGCACUCGAGUAUCUGCCUUAUCAACUAUCGUCGGUAGUGUAUUGGACUACCGAGGUGUUGACGGGUGACGGAGAAUCAGGGUUCGACUCCGGAGAGGGAGCCUUAGAAACGGCUACCAUGUCUAAGGACAGCAGCAGGCGCGCAACUUAUCCACUGUUCAUCGAACGAGAUAGUGACGAGAAAUAACAAGCUUGUUCUCUUUGAGGUCGAGCAUUGGAAUGGAUGGAAUGUAAACGAUUCCAUGAGUAACAACGAGAGGGCAAGUCUGGUGCCAGCAGCCGCGGUAAUUCCAGCUCUCGUAAUGUAUAGAAUUAUUGUUGCGGUUAAAAAGUUCGUAGUUGGAUCUCCUACUGUGAGCGGUCGCGUCCAACGGCGUGGACUGGGAGCAGUACUUGUGCCACGGUCGGGGUGACCCGACGGGGCGCGGAUUACUUUGAACGGCUUAAGUGCUCAAGGCGAGUCUUCGGACUGAAUACCGGUGCAUGGAAUAAUGGAACAAGGUUUCGGCCGAGUUUUAUUGGUUUUGUCGGCCAAAACAAUGG